rnacentral:rRNA from 1 species
UACGUAGGUGGCAAGCGUUAUCCGGAUUUACUGGGUGUAAAGGGAGCGCAGGCGGCACGGCAAGCCUGAUGUGAAAGCCCGCGGCCCAACCGCGGGACUGCAUUGGGAACUACCGGGCUGGAGUGCCGGAGAGGUAGGCGGAAUUCCUAGUGUAGCGGUGAAAUGCGUAGAUAUUAGGAGGAACACCAGUGGCGAAGGCGGCCUACUGGACGGUGACUGACGCUGAGGCUCGAAAGCGUGGGGAGCAAACAGG